rnacentral:rRNA from 1 species
GUGGAUUAGAUACCCUGGUAGUCCACGCUGUAAACGAUGGAUACUAGGUGUAGGCGGUCAUUAACCCCGUCUGUGCCGAAGCCAACGCGUUAAGUAUCCCGCCUGGGGACUACGGCCGCAAGGUUAAAACUCAAAGGAAUUGACGGGGGCCCGCACAAGCAGCGGAGCGUGUGGUUUAAUUCGAUGAUACGCGAAGAACCUUACCUGGGUUUGACAUAGGGGUAGUAGCAAGGUGAAAGCUAAGCGACCCUUCGGGGAGACUCUACAGGUGCUGCAUGGCUGUCGACAGCU